AACUUUACAAUGCCGGCAACGGCGAUAAGGGAACCUCGAGUGCCAGGAUACAAUUCUGGCUGUUGAGAUGCCUAAAAAGCAUUUCAUAGCAAGGGCCGGGCAAGACCGGUGCCAGCCGCCGCGGUAACACCGGCGGCUCGAGUGGUAACCGUUAUUAUUGGGUCUAAAGGGUCUGUAGCCGGCCGGAUAAGUCUCUUGAGAAAUCCGGCAGCUCAACUGUCGGGCUUUCAGGAGAUACUGUCUGGCUCGAGGCCGGGAGAGGUGAGAGGUACUUCAGGGGUAGGGGUGAAAUCUUGUAAUCCUUGAAGGACCACCAGUGGCGAAGGCGUCUCACCAGAACGGACCUGACGGCAAGGGACGAAAGCUAGGGGCACGAACCGGAUUAGAUACCCGGGUAGUCCUAGCCGUAAACGAUACUCGCUAGGUGUCGGCCACGGUGCGACCGUGGUCGGUGCCGUAGGGAAGCCGUGAAGCGAGCCACCUGGGAAGUACGGCCGCAAGGCUGAAACUUAA
rnacentral:rRNA from 1 species